rnacentral:tRNA from 1 species
UGCUCUGUAGCUCAGGGGUUAGAGCACUGGUCUCGUAAACCAGGGGUCGUGAGUUCAAAUCUCGCUGGAGCCU